rnacentral:rRNA from 1 species
UGAGGAAUAUUGGUCAAUGGGCGGAAGCCUGAACCAGCCAUGCCGCGUGAAGGAAUAAGGCCCUAUGGGUCGUAAACUUCUUUUGUGGUGGAGCAAUAAGUAUUACGUGUAAUACGAUGAGAGUACAUCACGAAUAAGCAUCGGCUAACUCCGUGCCAGCAGCCGCGGUAAUACGGAGGAUGCAAGCGUUAUCCGGAUUUAUUGGGUUUAAAGGGUGCGUAGGCUGUUGAGCAAGUCAGAGGUGAAAGCCCGGAGCUUAACUCCGGAACUGCCUUUGAUACUGUUCGGCUGGAAUACGGAUGCCGUGGGAGGAAUGAGUAGUGUAGCGGUGAAAUGCAUAGAUAUUACUCAGAACACCGAUUGUGAAGACAUCUCACGAAUCCGUCAUUGACGCUGAGGCACGAAAGCGUGGGGAUCAAACAGGAUUAGAUACCCUGGUA